GAUGAACGCUGGCGGCGUGCCUAAUACAUGCAAGUCGAGCGAACAGACGAUGAUCUUGCUCCUCUGACGUUAGCGGCGGACGGGUGAGUAACACGUGGAUAACCUACCUAUAAGACUGGGAUAACUUCGGGAAACCGGAUCUAAUACCGUAUAAUAUAUUGAGCCGCAUGGUUCAUUAGUGAAAGUCGGUUUUGCUGUCUCUUAUAGAUGGAUCCGCGCUGCAUUAGCUAGUUGGUAAGGUAACGGCUUACCAAGGCAACGAUGCGUAGCCGACGUGAGAGGGUGAUCGGCCACACUGGAACUGAGACACGGUCCAGACUACUACGGGAGGCAGCAGUAGGGAAUCUUACGCAAAGGGCGAAAGCCUGACGGAGCAACGCCGCGUGAGUGAUGAAGGUCUUGGGAUCGUAAAACUCUGUUAUUAGGGAAGAACAAAUGUGUAAGUAACUAUGCACGUAUUGACGGUAACUAAUCAGAAAGCAACGGCUAACUACGUG
rnacentral:rRNA from 1 species